UCGGUUGAUCCUGCCGGACCUGACUGCUAUCGGAUUGAUACUAAGCCAUGCGAGUCAUUGUAGCAAUACAAGGCAGACGGCUCAGUAACGCGUAGUCAACCUACCCUAUGGACGGGAAUAACCUCGGGAAACUGAGUAUAAUGCCCGAUAGAACACUAUACCUGGAAUGGUUUGUGUUUCAAAUGAUUUAUCGCCGUAGGAUGGGACUGCGGCCUAUCAGUUUGUUGGUGAGGUAAUGGCCCACCAAGACUAUUACAGGUACGGGCUCUGAGAGGAGUGGCCCGGAGAUGGGUACUGAGACACGGACCCAGGCCCUAUGGGGCGCAGCAGGCGAGAAAACUUUGCAAUGUGCGAAAGCACGACAAGGUUAAUCCGAGUGGUUUCUGCUAAAGGAACCUUUUGUUAGUCCUAGAAACACUGACGAAUAAGGGGUGGGCAAGUUCUGGUGUCAGCCGCCGCGGUAAAACCAGCACCUCAAGUGGUCAGGAUGAUUAUUGGGCCUAAAGCAUCCGUAGCCGGCUCUGUUAGUUUUCGGUUAAAUCUGUACGCUUAACGUACAGGCUGCCGGGAAUACUGCAGAGCUAGGGAGUGGGAGAGGUAGACGGUACUCGGUAGGAAGGGGUAAAAUCCUUUGAUCUAUUGAUGACCACCUGUGGCGAAGGCGGUCUACCAGAACACGUCCGACGGUGAGGGAUGAAAGCUGGGGGAGCAAACCGGAUUAGAUACCCGGGUAGUCCCAGCUGUAAACUAUGCAAACUCAGUGAUGCAUUGGCUUGUGGCCAAUGCAGUGCUGCAGGGAAGCCGUUAAGUUUGCCGCCUGGGAAGUACGUACGCAAGUAUGAAACUUAAAGGAAUUGGCGG
rnacentral:rRNA from 1 species